rnacentral:snoRNA from 25 species
CGAGGUCUUUGUGUACCCCGUGCGUCCCCACUUGUGACGCACACAUGGGGAAUGGACAGGACCGAG